rnacentral:rRNA from 1 species
AACGAACGCUGGCGGCAGGCCUAACACAUGCAAGUCGAACGAGAAAGUCCUCCGGGAUGAGUACAGUGGCGCACGGGUAAGUAACGCGUGGGAAUGUACCCUUUAGUACGGAAUAACCCCGGGAAACUGGGAUUAAUACCGUAUACGCCCUUCGGGGGAAAGAUUUAUCGCUAAAGGAUCAGCCCGCGUAAGAUUAGAUAGUUGGUGGGGUAAUGGCCUACCAAGUCUACGAUCUUUAGCUGGUCUGAGAGGAUGAUCAGCCACACUGGAACUGAGACACGGUCCAGACUCCUACGGGAGGCAGCAGUGGGGAAUAUUGGACAAUGGGCGAAAGCCUGAUCCAGCCAUGCCGCGUGAGUGAUAAGGCCUUAGGGUUGUAAAACUCUUUCGUCGGUGAAGAUAAAGACGGUAACCGAAAAAGAAGCCCCGGCUAACUUCGUGCCAGCCGCCGCCGUAA